CCAAGGCGCGGAGGAAGAUAUAAUUAUCAUAUCAAUAGUCAGGAGUAAUGGAGCUGGUACAGUUGGGUUUCUAUCAAACUUACAGAGGACUAACGUGGCUCUAACAAGGGCCAAGCAUUGCUUAUGGAUUGUGGGGAAUGGAACCACUCUGUUCAACAGCAA